AUUGAACGCUGGCGGCAUGCCUUACACAUGCAAGUCGAACGGCAGCGGACCUUCGGGUGCCGGCGAGUGGCGAACGGGUGAGUAAUGUAUCGGAACGUACCUUUCAGUGGGGGAUAACGUAGCGAAAGUUACGCUAAUACCGAAUAUUCUGUGAGCAGGAAAGCAGGGGAUCGCAAGACCUUGCGCUGAUUGAGCGGCCGAUAUCAGAUUAGCUAGUUGGUGAGGUAAAGGCUCACCAAGGCGACGAUCUGUAGCGGGUCUGAGAGGAUGAUCCGCCACACUGGAACUGAGACACGGUCCAGACUCCUACGGGAGGCAGCAGUGGGGAAUUUUGGACAAUGGGGGCAACCCUGAUCCAGCCAUGCCGCGUGAGUGAAGAAGGCCUUCGGGUUGUAAAGCUCCUUCGUCCGGGAAGAAAUCGCAUCAGCUAAUACCUGGUGUGGAUGACGGUACCGGAAUAAGAAGCACCGGCUAACUACGUGCCAGCAGCCGCAGUAAAAC
rnacentral:rRNA from 1 species